rnacentral:rRNA from 1 species
AAUCCAUAGGUUAAUGAGGCGAACCGGGGGAACUGAAACAUCUAAGUACCCCGAGGAAAAGAAAUCAACCGAGAUUCCCCCAGUAGCGGCGAGCGAACGGGGAGGAGCCCAGAGCCUGAAUCAGCAUGUGUGUUAGUGGAAGCGUCUGGAAAGGCGCGCGAUACAGGGUGACAGCCCCGUACACAAAAGCGCAUGUGCUGUGAGCUCGAUGAGUAGGGCGGGACACGUGGUAUCCUGUCUGAAUAUGGGGGGACCAUCCUCCAAGGCUAAAUACUCCUGACUGACCGAUAGUGAACCAGUACCGUGAGGGAAAGGCGAAAAGAACCCCGGCGAGGGGAGUGAAAAAGAACCUGAAACCGUGUACGUACAAGCAGUGGGAGCACCCUUUGGGUGUGACUGCGUACCUUUUGUAUAAUGGGUCAGCGACUUAUAUUCUGUAGCAAGGUUAACCGAAUAGGGGAGCCGGAGGGAAACCGAGUCUUAACCGGGCGUUAAGUUGCAGGGUAUAGACCCGAAACCCGGUGAUCUAGCCAUGGGCAGGUUGAAGGUUGGGUAACACUAACUGGAGGACCGAACCGACUAAUGUUGAAAAAUUAGCGGAUGACCUGUGGCUGGGGGUGAAAGGCCAAUCAAACCGGGAGAUAGCUGGUUCUCCCCGAAAGCUAUUUAGGUAGCGCCUCGUGAAUUCAUCUCCGGGGGUAGAGCACUGUUUCGGCUAGGGGGCCAUCCCGGCUUACCAACCCGAUGCAAACUGCGAAUACCGGAGAAUGUUAUCACGGGAGACACACGGCGGGUGCUAACGUCCGUCGUGAAGAGGGAAACAACCCAGACCGCCAGCUAAGGUCCCAAAGUCAUGGUUAAGUGGGAAACGAUGUGGGAAGGCCCAGACAGCCAGGAUGUUGGCUUAGAAGCAGCCAUCAUUUAAAGAAAGCGUAAUAGCUCACUGGUCGAGUCGGCCUGCGCGGAAGAUGUAACGGGGCUAAACCAUGCACCGAAGCUGCGGCAGCGACACUGUGUGUUGUUGGGUAGGGGAGCGUUCUGUAAGCCUGUGAAGGUGUGUCGUGAGGCAUGCUGGAGGUAUCAGAAGUGCGAAUGCUGACAUAAGUAACGAUAAAGCGGGUGAAAAGCCCGCUCGCCGGAAGACCAAGGGUUCCUGUCCAACGUUAAUCGGGGCAGGGUGAGUCGACCCCUAAGGCGAGGCCGAAAGGCGUAGUCGAUGGGAAACGGGUUAAUAUUCCCGUACUUGGUGUUACUGCGAAGGGGGGACGGAGAAGGCUAUGUUGGCCGGGCGACGGUUGUCCCGGUUUAAGCGUGUAGGUGUGUGUUCCAGGUAAAUCCGGUUCACUUUAACACUGAGGCGUGACGACGAGGCACUACGGUGCUGAAGCAACAAAUGCCCUGCUUCCAGGAAAAGCCUCUAAGCAUCAGGUAACAUCAAAUCGUACCCCAAACCGACACAGGUGGUCAGGUAGAGAAUACCAAGGCGCUUGAGAGA